CCUACGGGAGGCAGCAGUGAGGAAUAUUGGUCAAUGGACGAGAGUCUGAACCAGCCAAGUAGCGUGAAGGAUGACUGCCCUAUGGGUUGUAAACUUCUUUUAUAUGGGAAUAAAAUGUUCCACGUGUGGGAUUUUGUAUGUACCAUAUGAAUAAGGAUAGGCUAACUCCGUGCCAGCAGCCGCGGUAAUACGGAGGAUCCGAGCGUUAUCCGGAUUUAUUGGGUUUAAAGGGAGCGUAGGGGGUUCGUUAAGUCAGUUGUGAAAGUUUGCGGCUCAACCGUAAAAUUGCAGUUGAAACUGGCAGUCUUGAGUGCAGUAGAGGUGGGCGGAAUUCGUGGUGUAGCGGUGAAAUGCUUAGAUAUCACGAAGAACUCCGAUUGCGAAGGCAGUUCACUGGACUGCAACUGACACUGAGGCUCGAAAGUGUGGGUAUCAAACAGGAUUAGAUACCCGAGUAGUC
rnacentral:rRNA from 1 species